rnacentral:tRNA from 1 species
GGAGCUGUAGCUCAGUUGGUAAGAGUACUUGCCUAAUAAGCAUAAAGUCUUGGGUUCCAUCCACAGCACUG